UGGCAACAUUCAUUCCACUAAUAAGCUGGCAAUUAAUGCAAAGAGGAAUGUCCUGGAUUUCUCAAAGAGAAGUAUUUUUCAACAGGAGCCAGUCAAGAUGUUGAUGAGAUUUUGUUUCUCUUUUGUUGUUGUUGUUGUUGUUUAAAAGAAACUUUUUCUGGGAAAGGGGGCUGCUAAACUGGUGUUGUAAGUCUGCCCUCACGUGUUGGAUUUUAACUCUUCAGAAGAGAAAAAUGUAAGCUAGCUCAGUGGAAUCCACCAGAUAUAUCAUGGCAUCACCUAGACACAGGUCUUCAGGUCUUAGAUCUGCUCUUCUAUUUUUCUUUUGAGUUUUAGGUGCUGGUGGAUGCAUAGCAAUGGGUUACAUACGCUGGGAAUACACAGAGGUGCACACCAUCCAUUUGAUAGAGCAGAUAUGGGUCAUUAUCAUUCCUGCACUAAGCAGAUAAUGAAUUCAAAGGGAAUGUUACAAAAGUGUUGCUGAUAGUAUCAGUGUUAGAAUGUGUUGCAACUAUUGACUGAUAUAAAGAAGAGACAGCUGAAGGUAGGCUGAAAAACAGAAGAAUUAACAACCAGCUUUCAGUAAUUAAGGAAAAUGAUCACAGCCUCAGUAGUUUGAAAGAAAUCCUUUGUGUUUGGCUUCUUGUGAGAAGUGUUUCAGCACCCAGUUCAGUUUCUGACAAUAGGAAAUGUCCCAGGUAAUGGUAUCAUAUGGGAAAUUUCCAGUGUGAAUUAGCAUGAUACUUGUGCUUAGAUGGGACGUGAGUGGUUCUGUAGGCUCUGAAACUAAUGAAGCCAGGUUCCCUGCAGGCUUGCAUCUCCAGGCCAAUUUACUUUGGAAUCUCUGAAAGUAAAAGAUCUGCAGAAGUAUGUACUUGAAUCACUGAAAAUGUGCACUUCUCAAGGAUGCUGACCAACUCAUUAUUCUUUGUUCUGAUCCAGCUGAAAUAUUUUCAGCCUAUGGUUCAUUUCCAAACAAACGAAACCAAAAAAGCCUGAACAGAGUUGAGUCUAGAGUCUAAGUCCAAGUUAAUGAAGCUGCCUCAAAGUCAAGGAGGGAGAGAAUAAACCGCAGCUCUGAGGCACAGACCACUGGAGAUUCCUCUUUCAAAACCUGCCUGUGCCACUCACUGGAGUUAUUCGAUUUGGGAACAAGAUAAGAAUUCACAACAUCUGAUUUGUAGAAAUAACCCAGAGGAGGGGAAAACAGCCAGAAAUACUAAUUUCAGAUAUCAUUUUCAUCUGUCAGUUUCCUAAUAGUCUUUCUGAGCACUAAUAGCAUUAACCAAAUAUAAGGCUCAGACUUUGGGGAGGUUGUGCACUGACUGACAAAUGCAUUUCCAAAUAGCCCACAGUUCAGCAGUUCUUAUUCUGUCAAUACUCCAUGACCAGGGGAGGUUUGGAGCAUAAUUCUCUCCCAGUUAUUCAUCUUCUCUCUUUCUCUUCCAACCCCCCCCCCCGCCCCCCGAGUAAGAAAUACACCUGGCAAUUCAUUGCUGAUUUCCCAGGAGUGUUAUUCAUGCCAGUUUAUUUAUGUAUUUAUUAUUCAAGUGCAAACUUACAAAGUUCUUUGUGGUAAUCUGCAAAUCAAACUGAUGGAGGCAGAAGGCUGGCCUUUAAAGCAAGUACUGUAGAGGCAAAGGCAGGCACUGUGGCUGCCAAUGCACUGCAGCGCGGGACUGUGAGGAGCAAUUCAUCCUGCCUGAGGCCCAGGCCCAGGCUCUGGCCAGAGUUGGUAGACACAGGUAGUCACCAUGCUUAAAUUAAGCAAGCUCUCUGCUGUAAGUGCUUUAUUUUGGCAAAGCAACAGCUUCUGCUGUUGACUGCACAGGUGUCGUCUUCAUUCUUGAGUGCUGGUAACAUAUCGUUUGAAAGAAAUGGGUAUAUAUUUAUGCCUAACUUCUUCACACACUCAGAAUUUGGGCUUCAAAUUUACAAUGAUUAAAGCAAGGUGCAGUGUGCAAUGGCAGGGACUUUGUACCAUUUAUCCACUGCUUGCCUGGGGUGGUGGUGCAGCCAGGAAUUUUGGUGCAGCCCUUGAUGGUGACCCCCUACAACUGAAGAGGGCAACCCAAGGAAGGUUUGUGGGGUGGGUUUCUGUCCUGUGGGUAAUGGUGUGGGGGGAGAUGCCUGUUCCUCAAGCUGGACAUGUGAUGGGUGUUGCCUCCAGUGAGUGUACUCGUGCUUUCUCCAAAACAAAAGAUACUGCUCCACCUUCGAAGGUUCGGAGACACGUAUCAUCUGGUCUAGCUUAACUGUGGCACAGUUACAUGACAUUUCGUACUUAGGGCUGUCCAGCCUGCCUGUGGCUUUAUGUCUAACUCUUCCACACACUCAAAAUUUAAACUUCAAGUUUUGUGUGGAUUAAGGUUAUUUAUUAGGGUUGUGUUUUCAUAGUUUUCUCAGGAAUUUGUUCUGCAUGCCUUCACAAGGACUUAAUUGCCUUCAAUAGGCUAUUAAAUACAACCGUAUCUCAGCACGUUAGUAUAAUUAUUAUGUUAAAUUGUCAGAACUACAACUAGGAGAAAUCUAUACUAAGGUUGUUAAGAAAAGGCCAAAUUCAUCUUGGAAUGUGGUCAACUGCAAAAUAAAAAGCAUCUCUUAUAUAGCACUUGUUUCUAAGCUCCUUUCUUCCUAUUCCUGACUUUUUCUCCACUACUUCUGAUAAUUUAGACACAAUCUCGUUACACAGUCCUUUGUUACUGUGUGAAAAACCUACACAAAUGAGAUUCAUUGAUUACACAGAGGAAGAAGUAAAAAUCCCAUCAAAUGCUUAAAGAAAGUGAAUCAAAUGUAUUGUCAUUUUUCUUUAUUGACUUAGUAUUGUUCCCUUCACAAUGAAGGAUAAAAAUGUGAGUUUGAAAUUGUUGUGUCCCUUUAUGUGGUAUAUUGGUUUUCAUGUGGUAGGAAUCUCAGGGGGAAUAUGGUGAUUUAUGCUGGCAGAAGUUCUAGUUGCUUAUUUGAAUGCCAUCCUGCGAUGGUACCUUAGUAGAGACAUAAUGUUUCUAUGUUUUUCAUGCCACUGUGUCUCAUCUGCAAAGCUCAAAUGUCAUUGCCGCUUAGGGAAAGGUUACUGGUGAGAAAUGUUUGAACUUUAAAUGGAUUCGUAAUUUUGAAUAGGAACCUUUUUAUUUAUUUAUUUAUUUAUUUAUAUUUUAUUUUGCGUUGAGCAACAAGUUUAGAUUCAAACACCUCCAAAACUUGAGAGGGUUCAAGUUUGAAUUUAGACCAAAUGCUGUGUCUCUCAAAUCUAUGUCUAAUAUAAGGAUAAUUCAGUGUGUAAAGAAUGCAUGCACAUGCUCAUAGACGCAUGUAUGUUGACACACAUGAAUUUAUCUCACUUCAAGAUGAUAUUGAAAGUAGUAAGCAACUUAUUCCACUUUCAGCAGAAUUUCAUCAGAGUUGAGUAAUUCUCAUAAAAAAGAAUUCAAGGAAAGAAGUUUAAAAUCAAUUUCUUGAGUAGCUAAAGAAGUUACUGAUGGAAAAAGUAAAAGUAAUCAACUGAUAUUUUUUUUGGGGGGGGGAAAUAUGUCUCAUUUACUAGAAGAUUUUUAAUUGUCCAUUAGUCCCUUACCAUUGUUCUGCAUGGAUUUCAAGACAAGAUUUUGAUUUGAAAAGGGAUAUAAUAGAAAGGAGAACCCUUCUUAUGUGGCUAAUGCAAUGUAAGUAAUUUAAAUGUUGGAAGCGUGAAGCUGUGAUUGGCAGGAGGAGGGGAAGAAUGUUGUGUGGGCUGUAUGGCAAAGCAGGGAAUAAAAAUGUGGAAAUGAAGUAGACAUAGAAACAUUCUGGUUCUUUUGGAGAAAAUCACCGUCUGAUUUUUGGUUUUGCAGAAACAAAGACUGGAUGGCCUGGAUGUGAAUCCUGUCUUACCAGCAAAUCCAGUGUUCAGGAUUGUUUGCAUAACCAAUUCCAGCUUUGGCUCACUUCUGUUCUGAAUAAGCAGUUAAGCAGUUUGGGUAUUUUUCAGUUCCCUGUGGGCUGGCAGAGGAAAGAUAUGCAACAGUGAUGUGAUCUGUUUAACUUCUGUUAGCCUAUAUGGAUGCACCUCUCCAAAGGUGGUAAAGUGAAGCCAGCCUCAUUCCCAUUGCUGACCAGUGUGCCAGGCAGAAAAGCUCUGGAGUACUCCUGUCAUGGGGAGAAAAUGUUCAGUGCUUCAAGCACCCAACCCUUCCAUUGCCUUCUUUACCCUUCAAAAUAUCUGCAGAAGUUUUGAGUAGCUUAGAAACAGAUUAGAGCCGUCACGUGCAAACUGAGAGCACUCUGAACCUUGUGUUGUUCCAGCUUGAGGGGGCCUGCAGCUGAUGCAGGAGAGACUGGAGUGACAAGAAAGCAUUUCAAACCUCCCCUAUACUCUGUGAGUGGGUGCUAAUGCUCUGCUGCACCUCAGAUUCUCCCUACAGAAGUCCCCAAAUGUAUAGUUAGCACCCAAAAUCACACCAGCUAGUGCAUCUGACUUUCAUCAGCAGGUUUGUGGCUAUGAUUUAUUUAUUUUUCUUCCAUCUGGAUGUGAUUUUAGAGCAUGAUAGAAGCCCGAAAUGGAGACAACCUUCAGAUUCAUUUUCUCUCACGCUCAUGGACACGUGCAAGAGUAUAUAAAAAUAAUUGACCACAGUGGAAAGGUACAGAGUUUAUCCUUUUAAAAAGGCAGAUAUUUGGUUAAUGCCAGCACUUCAUGCCAGGCCCAGAGGAGAUUGCAUCCCCCCAAUGAAAGCACAAGGUAUGAGAUGGCUCCUGCCCCCAGGAAUUUGCCUUCUCCACUCUUAACCUGCAUGAAAGGAGGGUUUUGUGCCUGCAAAAUGCACAGGGCUGACCAUAAAGCUGAGAGUACACCAGGGAUCUCCAUCUCGAUAUCCUGCAUGAAUGGUGAAAUUUUUCAUUUCUGUUCUCAUAAAUGGAAAGAAUAAAGCUGCUGCAAUCAAGGACCUGCUACUUCUGGUACUCUUGGAAGAAAAAAGCAGGAUUUCUACCUAGGACUUGUUUGCUUUGUGCCUGAGCUGUUUCCAGGCUUGAUUUCUUCUAUAGGUACAAGUAGUGUUAAUGAGGUGUUAAUGUGUAUGUAGGCGAUGCAGUCAUAGAUUUGCCUUUGAUCAGUCGGUGUUCUUUCUUUCUCUCUCUCUCUCUCUUUCUUUUUUUUUUUUUUUUUUUUUAACCUCGAAAAUCUGUUUGCACCAUGAGAGCCUGUUGACUUAACAGAAAUUUCUCCAGGAGCUGAAAGAAACUCUGAAAACAAUGUGAAGUGAAACUCCCACCGACUGCAAAGGGCAAUUUUAGAAAUGCUGAUGAAGAAACAGUUUCACCUUAUUUUUGAGGAUGAAGAGUCACAAACUCCCCAAAUUCAGCUCUGG